CAAACAGAGCCUGCAGAAUGUCUGACAUAACUCGAGGAGGGAUUUGAUCUGGUUGAGAUGGCUGCAGUCAAGAGGUUCCUGGCUGGGUGAGGUCAUUGAACUCCCCCGAGGGCUGCCGAGGGAAGCAGGUGAAUGCAAAGCCUAUGGCUCUCUUCCCUCAGACACUUAAGGUUAAGGCUGUACUGGUGCUCAGAAAAAGGUGGGUAGUGUCUUUCCUUCUUCACAGAGAGCACAGAGAGGUGUAAAUUUUAAAGCUUAAUGAAAGCAAUUUGAGUAGUAAUAAUAUUAUCUACUUAAAAGUAGAAACAUUUUGAUGUUCUAGAAUAAUCUGUCCUAAGGAAUAUAUUCUCAAUCUCUUUGUGAUGAAAAUAAUUUGGUGCAUGUUACUCUUUUUAUCUUCUCCUUCAGCUUUGAAACCUAUCUUGCAGAGAUCAGGGCUUAUCUCUUGUCUCAAGGGUUUCAGCCUCAGUGACUGGUUGGAAUUAGGCUCAGUUACAGAAAGUCUCUACUAGUAAGUUUCUGAGGAGAAUCUUGGUUCCUAUGGCAUCCCAGCUCAGAAUGCCAUGCUGCUGGAAGGCUAAGGUAUCUCUCUGGACUCUUAGCACAGCAGGUUUUCAGAGGCAGUUCAGUUUCAUAGAAAUGCUCCUCCCAUCCUGUUCACCUUACUCCUUUACAGACUCCACAGCAACCACUGAAUUAACUGGCAUUGAGCCCUUCCAGGACCAGGGUCUUAAGAAGAAAGUCAGGCUGGCCUUAAAGCAGAUUGGCUUUUCUUAAGUGCUCAGAUCCUGCCCCUUCCAAAGCCCAGGCUGUGGAGUGUGAACUGCAGAUAGAUUACAGAGUUCAGAGCAAUCUGGACACUCAAAUAUUGUCCUGAUUUUUUUUUCCUCUCACACAAUUUUCUAACAAUGCUCUCGUCUUCCACUGCUUUCUUCUGUUGACAAGCAGUAUUGUGUCUUUUGGAGUGAUGAAAGGCAAAAGCACUGAACAGCAUCAUCAACACAUGGCAGUUCCUUUCAUUUUUAAUUAAAUAUACGACAGCCAAUGGACCGGUAAUGUACCUAAAUAAACCACAUUCAUAGAACAAAGGAAGAAGACACUCUUGAGCACUAGGUUUAAUACACAGCGGGUAUCCAACGGAUACAACAGAAAAGUUAAUUCAUUCAGAAUUGUAAGGAAGCAACAGUUGUGCAUUUUGAUUUUUUUGCUCAGUUUCACCAGGUACAAACAUUGGAACCAGGCCUCAGCAUCAGGCAGGUCCAUGGACAGAGUAAAAGGAGAUGCUCGUUAUAACUGAGGGUAUUUUCAUUGCAAAACAAGGAAAUACAUAUUUAAUUAGCUGAAAAACUUUUUUAAAACAAGGAAAGAGUUACAGAGAGGAUCAGUGAUAAUUACAUGAAAUCAAGAGUCUGUUAAAGCAGAAGUGUUUCAAUUCAGCAGAGUAUCUCCCUCAUUCCUUAAGUACUCUCUUCUCCUUCAGCCCCCCUGUUGCUUUUCUCUAUUCCUGAUGACUAUUGCCCUCUGUGCUUCAUCCACACACAUGGUUGUCGUGGAGACCAGCUGUUUCCCUACUUUUAAUUCUCUUUUUCCAGCACAAGCUGUCCUCUAACACCUGAGCUGUGGCAGACUCCUCCCUAAACAGUCUCAAGGAAAUGUCUUUUCUAUGGAUAGUGCCUGACUGCAGUGCCCUCUAGCUCUUGCCUUACUGGUAAUUAAUUGCCUUCUUCAGGUAAUGAGAGGGAAUUGACUCACAGCUCCAAGACUUUUCUUCCCACUCAUCUUUUGCAGAGACUAAAGUGACAGCAGCAGAAGCCCAGCCAAGGCGACAAGCUAGGUAGGAUUCAGUGCUGAAGAGGAUAAUUUCAGUAGGAAGGUGCAGGGAAACAGCAGCCAUGGUGCAGAUGAAUUAUCUGCAGUGUUCUGAUUGCCACAAAUAUCAAUGCUAAACUUUCUUGGCUUGGUCUAGAUGAGAAAGUCUGAUCCUUCUGGGUGUUAAACAUCAUCCAAGUAGAUGCCAAUCCUUAUGAGCAAUUCCUCCCACAGAUUUUGUAAAAUGGAAGCACUGGUGGGAAGUUGCUCACCAAUUAGCUCUUAUCUGCUUCAGAGAGGAUGGACACUCGGCACUGCUGGGUCACUGACAAGGGCCCCUGGAGGACAGGGCAGCCUCCAGCCAGGAAGGAAACCACACACGGUUCAGGCAGAGGGUUCCUUUGUUGGCACAGUCUCUGCAGGAAGCUACUGAGUCGUGUUUGUGCUCUGCUGGCCCAGCUUUGGAAUAUUAAAGGAAAUGUAAUAGUGAAAACAUGAAGAGUCUGAGUGGGCCAACAGCUACUGAGCACAAGGAGCCCCUCUGUAAUAUCCUUAUAUGCUAUGAACUUCUCUACAGCUGGAUUUUCAUUUGAAAAAUAGAACCCCAUUCUGGUUUGCUGAGCAGGGUUGGUCACUGGCUGUAUCAUUUCGUGUGGAGCUGAAGUUUCCUCUUUGAUCCAGCAGAGCUGGAAGGCCUGAGAGGCAUCCUUGGAGCAGUCAAGAAUUUUAGGGUAUCCAACUUCCCCUUUUACAUUAAACCUUCAUAAAAAAUCUGCCACUUUGCC